rnacentral:rRNA from 1 species
CCUACGGGUGGCAGCAGUAGGGAAUAUUGCUCAAUGGGGGAAACCCUGAAGCAGCAACGCCGCGUGAAGGAUGAAGGUUUUCGGAUUGUAAACCCCUUUUGUUAGGGAAGAUAAUGACGGUAUCUAACGAAUAAGCACCGGCUAACUCCGUGCCAGCAGCCGCGGUAAUACGGAGGGUGCAAGCGUUACUCGGAGUCACUGGGCGUAAAGGGCGCGUAGGCGGGCUAGCAAGUCAGAUGUGAAAUCCUAUGGCUCAACCAUAGAACUGCAUUUGAAACUGUUAUUCUAGAGUGUGGGAGAGGUAGGUGGAAUUCUUGGUGUAGCGGUGAAAUGCGUAGAGAUCAAGAGGAACACUCAUUGCGAAGGCGGCCUGCUAGAACAUAACUGACGCUGAUGCGCGAAAGCGUGGGGAGCAAACAGGAUUAGAUACCCGUGUAGUC